CCCUGGUGAAACUCCAUUUCUGUAGCAAAAGCGACUCAGAAGAGAGCCAAAUCUUCUGGUUCAUUAAUUCUUUAAUUGAGAGAAAGUUACAAGGUGAAAGUCUCUUCUGGGCACGCCCUUUCAGCGAACUUCGACGGCCGAAACUGCCACUUCUGCAGUUCACAUCACCACGACGUCUUCAUGAAAGUUGUUCGAAAUUGCGUCUUCUAUACUGUGCUCGAAAAUCAUGAUAAUCCAACGGUUAAUUCGUUCUCAAUCAAGUUUCCACUCAGAUUGGGCCAUGUUUCUCCAUCGACAUUGAGUUAAUUUCAUCAAAUUUACAUCUCCAUCUUGAGUUCACACACAAUUGAUUUUACGAUUGGUAAGUUUUGCCUCAAUCUGUUGAAUUUCAUCUUUUCUAGUUCAAUUUUCAUAUAGAAUCUCACAUUCAUUAAGUUUUGUGAUGCUUAAACUUACCAUUUGACUCGGUCCUUCCCACAAUCUGAUAUCAAAAUUUUGUUAAGGUUUAUUCAUACUCAAAGUUCAUUCAUAUCAGAACUUGACCUUCUGGACUUUUACUUAUCAAAUCCAUAUGGAUGUUGCUUACAAUUGUUGCAAGCCUAGGAUCAGUUCUUAUGCCGUCCUCCUUAAUACACUCAUCAAUACAGAAUUUCGACUGUACAAAUGGAAUUAUUCAAAAUUGGUUGAAUCCAGAACAUGCGACCAAGAUCUUCAACAAACCUUUACAAAUUACAGGUAUAGAAAUGUCUACCACUUCUAUUAUCUUGAACCUUGCCACGAAGUGAACAACUAUUGCAGACGUCGUUGGGGCCGAGAUGGCGAGCAAUGUAUGUUCGAAAUUAUUACAGCAGUCCAUAGGCAAUUGCUUCCUAAGUUUUUGCAGCUAUCAUAUUUAUUCUCACAUUGUUGCAAACAGUUAAAAUUGAAAGGUAAAAUCGUUAGGAUUUGCUCAGCUAGUUUAUUUGGUGGCUAUCCCAUUGCUAAUAAAUGUUCCUUAAUGUUGCCUC